rnacentral:sRNA from 1 species
ACGUCAGCGGUAUGAAGGUGGAGGUAUACCAAUAGACAAUAAGCGGCAGGAAGGUGGAGGUAUGCAGGAAACAGUAAGCGGUAGGAAGGUGGGGGGUAUGCAGUAGACAGUAAGCGGUAGGAAGGUGAAGUAUGCAGGAAACAGUAAGUGGUAGGAAGGUAGAGGUAUGCAGGAAACAGUCAUCAGUAGGAAGGUGGAGGUAGGCAGUAGACAGUAAGCGAAGGGAAGGUAGAGGUAUGCAGGAAACAGUAAGCGGUAGGAAGGUGGAGGUAUGCAGUAGACAGUAAGCGAAGGGAAGGUGGGGGUAUGAGUAGACAGUAAGCGGUAGGAAGGUAGAGGUAUGCAGGAAACAGUCAUCAGUAGGAAGGUGGAGGUAGGCAGUAGACAGUAAGCGAAGGGAAGGUA